UAUAUGGAAAUGUUGAAACUUUCAAGGAAAAGGUGGAAAUAGAUGAAGCAAACAAGUUGGUGAGUCUUACUGCUUUGGAAGGAUCACAUGUGUUGGACAACUACAAAAGCUAUAAGAUCAUUCUCCAGGUCACUCCAAAGAGUGAAGGAGGUUUGGUGAAAAUUACCCUAGAAUAUCGAAGACUUAAUGAGAACGAUCCGCCUCCACAUAAGUACAUCCGGUUUUUUGGUCAAUGUCAUUCAAGAUAUUGAUGCACAUCUUCUUAAGGAAUAAUUACAACAACAAGACAACAAGAUUUAUGCGCGCAACUUUGAAGGAUAUAUGUAAUAAAAUAAGGGUAAGCUAUCCUGGUUGUUUAGUACCGUUUCGGACUUGCAAUUUCUAUCUUGGAAUUUAUAGACAAGAAUGAAUUGAAUUGUGUGCAAUAUAUAAGUAUAUUGAUUGUGUGUGAACAAGUUUUCCUGGGUGUAUUAACUCAUCCAAAAGAAUAAAUUAUGAUCAGUAUAUUGUGCUA
rnacentral:lncRNA from 1 species